CACUCUUUCUCCUUUAUUGUCUUACUUCUGGGGGCUGGUAGGGGGUAAGGGCUGUUAGGAGUUGAAUUGUGUACCCCCUUCCAAAAUUCAUAUGCUGGAGUCCUAACGCCGGUACCUGAAUGUGACCUCAUUGGGCAACAGGAUCGUGGCAGAUGUCAUCAACUCAGGUGAGGCUGGUGGGGCUGAACUGGUGUCCUUAGAGAAGGGGGCAAUUUGGACAGAGACAAGCGUAAGGGAAGACAGUGUCAAGACACACAGGGAGACAGUGGCCACGUACAAGCCAGGAGGAGAGGCCGAAUCCUCCCUUAGAGGGACCUAACCCUGAUGACCUCGCGAUCUCAGACUUCCAGGCUCCCAGAUGGGGAGAUGAGACAUCCCUGUUUUAAGCCCCCCCGUUUGUGGUACCUUGUGACAUUUCUAGGAAACAAACAUGGUGGGUAAAAGUACAUGUUUUGAGUUAAAAAAAUAUACAUAUAUACCUAUUUUGAAAUUCUAUUUUCCCUAUUUUGUACCUUGCUGAUCUUGAAUGUAUUCCCUUGACCUCUUAUGCGUCAGUUUGCAGCCAUGAAAUGGAGAGAGUGGUACCAGCCUCCUUGGAGGAUCUGACAAACGAUGAUGUGAAGCGUCUGGAGGGCACCCAGCAAGAAGCGGGGUUUAGUAAAUGCAGAAGAUGGGAGAAGGCAACCACAGAGUCUGUAUUGCUCAAUGAGGUCCAGAGGAGCAGCCUGUAAGGAAUGUGAGGAGCAUUAUGACUGAUGGCUGAUGGAGUUUCUUGACAGCCCAAGAGGACCUGG
ensembl:lncRNA